GACGAACGCUGGCGGCGUGCUUAACACAUGCAAGUCGAACGGAAAGGCCCUGCUUUUGUGGGGUGCUCGAGUGGCGAACGGGUGAGUAACACGUGAGUAACCUGCCCUUGACUUUGGGAUAACUUCAGGAAACUGGGGCUAAUACCGGAUAGGAGCUCCUGCUGCAUGGUGGGGGUUGGAAAGUUUCGGCGGUUGGGGAUGGACUCGCGGCUUAUCAGCUUGUUGGUUGGGUAGUGGCUUACCAAGGCUUUGACGGGUAGCCGGCCUGAGAGGGUGACCGGCCACAUGGGGACUGAGGUACGGCCCAGACUCCUACGGGAGGCAGCAGUGGGGAAUAUUGCACAAUGGGCGGAAGCCUGAUGCAGCAACGCCGCGUGCGGGAUGACGGCCUUCGGGUUGUAAACCGCUUUCGCCUGUGACGAAGCGUGAGUGACGGUAAUGGGUAAAGAAGCACCGGCUAACUACGUG
rnacentral:rRNA from 1 species